GGGUUGUGAGGUUAAGCGACUAAGCGUACACGGUGGAUGCCCUGGCAGUCAGAGGCGAUGAAGGACGUGCUAAUCUGCGAUAAGCGUCGGUAAGGUGAUAUGAACCGUUAUAACCGGCGAUUUCCGAAUGGGGAAACCCAGUGUGUUUCGACACACUAUCAUUAACUGAAUCCAUAGGUUAAUGAGGCGAACCGGGGGAACUGAAACAUCUAAGUACCCCGAGGAAAAGAAAUCAACCGAGAUUCCCCCAGUAGCGGCGAGCGAACGGGGAGCAGCCCAGAGCCUGAAUCAGUAUGUGUGUUAGUGGAAGCGUCUGGAAAGGCGCGCGAUACAGGGUGACAGCCCCGUACACAAAAAUGCACAUGCUGUGAGCUCGAUGAGUAGGGCGGGACACGUGGUAUCCUGUCUGAAUAUGGGGGGACCAUCCUCCAAGGCUAAAUACUCCUGACUGACCGAUAGUGAACCAGUACCGUGAGGGAAAGGCGAAAAGAACCCCGGCGAGGGGAGUGAAAAAGAACCUGAAACCGUGUACGUACAAGCAGUGGGAGCACGCUUAGGCGUGUGACUGCGUACCUUUUGUAUAAUGGGUCAGCGACUUAUAUUCUGUAGCAAGGUUAACCGAAUAGGGGAGCCGAAGGGAAACCGAGUCUUAACUGGGCGUUAAGUUGCAGGGUAUAGACCCGAAACCCGGUGAUCUAGCCAUGGGCAGGUUGAAGGUUGGGUAACACUAACUGGAGGACCGAACCGACUAAUGUUGAAAAAUUAGCGGAUGACUUGUGGCUGGGGGUGAAAGGCCAAUCAAACCGGGAGAUAGCUGGUUCUCCCCGAAAGCUAUUUAGGUAGCGCCUCGUGAAUUCAUCUCCGGGGGUAGAGCACUGUUUCGGCAAGGGGGUCAUCCCGACUUACCAACCCGAUGCAAACUGCGAAUACCGGAGAAUGUUAUCACGGGAGACACACGGCGGGUGCUAACGUCCGUCGUGAAGAGGGAAACAACCCAGACCGCCAGCUAAGGUCCCAAAGUCAUGGUUAAGUGGGAAACGAUGUGGGAAGGCCCAGACAGCCAGGAUGUUGGCUUAGAAGCAGCCAUCAUUUAAAGAAAGCGUAAUAGCUCACUGGUCGAGUCGGCCUGCGCGGAAGAUGUAACGGGGCUAAACCAUGCACCGAAGCUGCGGCAGCGACGCUGAUGCGUUGUUGGGUAGGGGAGCGUUCUGUAAGCCUGCGAAGGUGUGCUGUGAGGCAUGCUGGAGGUAUCAGAAGUGCGAAUGCUGACAUAAGUAACGAUAAAGCGGGUGAAAAGCCCGCUCGCCGGAAGACCAAGGGUUCCUGUCCAACGUUAAUCGGGGCAGGGUGAGUCGACCCCUAAGGCGAGGCCGAAAGGCGUAGUCGAUGGGAAACAGGUUAAUAUUCCUGUACUUGGUGUUACUGCGAAGGGGGGACGGAGAAGGCUAUGUUGGCCGGGCGACGGUUGUCCCGGUUUAAGCGUGUAGGCUGGUUUUCCAGGCAAAUCCGGAAAAUCAAGGCUGAGGCGUGAUGACGAGGCACUACGGUGCUGAAGCAACAAAUGCCCUGCUUCCAGGAAAAGCCUCUAAGCAUCAGGUAACAUCAAAUCGUACCCCAAACCGACACAGGUGGUCAGGUAGAGAAUACCAAGGCGCUUGAGAGAACUCGGGUGAAGGAACUAGGCAAAAUGGUGCCGUAACUUCGGGAGAAGGCACGCUGAUAUGUAGGUGAAGUCCCUCGCGGAUGGAGCUGAAAUCAGUCGAAGAUACCAGCUGGCUGCAACUGUUUAUUAAAAACACAGCACUGUGCAAACACGAAAGUGGACGUAUACGGUGUGACGCCUGCCCGGUGCCGGAAGGUUAAUUGAUGGGGUUAGCGCAAGCGAAGCUCUUGAUCGAAGCCCCGGUAAACGGCGGCCGUAACUAUAACGGUCCUAAGGUAGCGAAAUUCCUUGUCGGGUAAGUUCCGACCUGCACGAAUGGCGUAAUGAUGGCCAGGCUGUCUCCACCCGAGACUCAGUGAAAUUGAACUCGCUGUGAAGAUGCAGUGUACCCGCGGCAAGACGGAAAGACCCCGUGAACCUUUACUAUAGCUUGACACUGAACAUUGAGCCUUGAUGUGUAGGAUAGGUGGGAGGCUUUGAAGUGUGGACGCCAGUCUGCAUGGAGCCGACCUUGAAAUACCACCCUUUAAUGUUUGAUGUUCUAACGUUGACCCGUGAUCCGGGUUGCGGACAGUGUCUGGUGGGUAGUUUGACUGGGGCGGUCUCCUCCUAAAGAGUAACGGAGGAGCACGAAGGUUGGCUAAUCCUGGUCGGACAUCAGGAGGUUAGUGCAAUGGCAUAAGCCAGCUUGACUGCGAGCGUGACGGCGCGAGCAGGUGCGAAAGCAGGUCAUAGUGAUCCGGUGGUUCUGAAUGGAAGGGCCAUCGCUCAACGGAUAAAAGGUACUCCGGGGAUAACAGGCUGAUACCGCCCAAGAGUUCAUAUCGACGGCGGUGUUUGGCACCUCGAUGUCGGCUCAUCACAUCCUGGGGCUGAAGUAGGUCCCAAGGGUAUGGCUGUUCGCCAUUUAAAGUGGUACGCGAGCUGGGUUUAGAACGUCGUGAGACAGUUCGGUCCCUAUCUGCCGUGGGCGCUGGAGAACUGAGGGGGGCUGCUCCUAGUACGAGAGGACCGGAGUGGACGCAUCACUGGUGUUCGGGUUGUCAUGCCAAUGGCACUGCCCGGUAGCUAAAUGCGGAAGAGAUAAGUGCUGAAAGCAUCUAAGCACGAAACUUGCCCCGAGAUGAGUUCUCCCUGACUCCUUGAGAGUCCUGAAGGAACGUUGAAGACGACGACGUUGAUAGGCCGGGUGUGUAAGCGCAGCGAUGCGUUGAGCUAACCGGUACUAAUGAACCGUGAGG
rnacentral:rRNA from 1 species